rnacentral:lncRNA from 1 species
AUGUGGUGUCAUCAUAAGAGAACUGUUCAUUUUAAAUAUCACGGUUAUCGUCAAAACCGGUAUAUCGCGACAGCCCUAGUUCAGACUAUAAAAAGACAAUGCAGAAAAGCAGAGUGGAUGUGGUGGAAGACAAAACUUGAAAUUCACUAUAGCAUCUAUAAAGACAGCCUUCAUGCUUUUAAUGUGAAACUAGCCACAGCUAUACAGCAUUUCUUCUCAAACCUUAUAAACGGUAACUUAAAUAACACUCAUACUCUUUUUGCCACUGUUGAGAGACUGAGAAACCCCCCAAGUCAGAUUCCCAGUGAAAUGCUCUCAGACAGCAAAUACAAUGAGUUUGCUUCCUUCUUUUCUGAGAAGAUCAUCAAUUUCAAGAAGGCGAUUAGCACAUCCUCAAGUAAUGCAGAGGUCAGACAGAUUAGGCCACAAUAUCAAAAAGAUAUUAUGUCUAUUUUUGAAGCAAUUGAUAGCAAAAUUCUGGAAGACAUAGUGCAGCACCUAAAAUCGUCAACCUGCUAUCUUGACAUACUUCCCACAUCUUUUUUCAAAAGUGUGCUUAACUGCUUAGAAGUAGAUCUUUUAGAAGUGGUGAACACCUCACUUCUUUCUAAGACAUUUUCAAACUACUUAAAAACUGCAGUUGUUAAGCCCCUCCUGAAAAAGAGCAAUCUUGAUAACACUAUUUUGAGCAAUUUUAGACCAAUAUCUAAUCUUCCUUUUAUAGGCAAAAUUAUAGAAAAGGUAGUUUUUAAUCAGCUGAACAAAUACUUAAACUCAAAUGGAUACCUGGACAAUUUUCAAUCUGGUUUUCGACUGCAUCACAGCACAGAGACAGCACUCAUUAAGAUAAGAAAUGAUUUUCGCUUAAAUUGUGACUCUGGCAAAAUAUCGGUGCUGGUAUUGCUAGAUCUCAGUGCUGCGUUUGACACUGUCGAUCAUAACAUACUACUAAAGAGACUGGAAAACUGGGUCGGCUUUCUGGGAUGGUACUCAAAUGGUUCAGGUCAUACUUAG